GGGAACUAGUGGCCCCGUGGUCAAAGAAACAACUUUCACCGUUACCUUCCCAGUUCCGUUCCCUCCCAAACCCUAACUCCCGAAUCCCCUCGCUCUCCUCUAAUGGCCGCCGAUGCCGACGCAGCCGAGGUGGAGCGGCUUUACGAGCUCGGCGAGCGCCUCUCUUCCGCCAAGGACAAGUCCGAGCUUGCGGCGGACUACGAGGCGAUUAUUGCAGCAGUGAAGGGGCAGAGUGUCAAGGCGAAGCAGCUCGCAGCGCAGCUCAUCCCGAGGUUCUUCCGGAGCUUCCCUGCACUCGCCACCCGCGCCAUGUCGGCCAUGUUCGACCUCGUUGAUAUGGAGGAGCUCGCGAUCAGAAUACAAGCUAUUCGGGGUUUUCCACUUCUUGGUAAAGAUACUGAAUUUGUGUCAAAAAUUGCAGAUGUUUUGGGACAACUCCUUACAAGCGAGGAAAAUGUGGAACGUGAUGCUGUUCAUAAAGCACUCAUGUCCCUUAUACGAGAAGAUGUUAAAAAUUCUUUACAACCUUUAUUUAAGCAUGUGGAGCAAGGAUCAGAGAUUCGUGAGAAGAUUAUUUGUUUUCUUCGAGACAAGGUUUUUCCUCUUAAAGCAGAGCUACUGAAACCUCAAGCAGAAAUGGAGAGAUUUAUAACGGAUUUGGUAAAGAAAAGUGUGCAAGAUGUAACUGGUUCAGAAUUUGAACUAUUCAUGGGGUUUCUGCGAAGCUUGAGCAUAUUUGGGGAUUCUGCUCCUAGAGAGUCCUUUCAAGAACUAAUUGAAAUUAUUCAAGCACAGGCUGAUCUCAACUCACAAUUCAAUGUUUCGGACAUUGACCACAUUGAAAGGUGGAUUUCAUGCAUGUAUAUGGCUCUUCCUAUCUUCAUGAGAGGAGCAUCAGCAAGCAAGUUCCUCAAUUACUUCGUUAAGCAAAUUGUUCCAGCAUUCGAGAAGAUUCCUGAAGAAAAGAAACUGGAUUUGCUCAAGACUAUUGCUUCAAGUUCACCGUACGCGACAGCUCAAGAUUCACGUCAGCUGCUUCCAUCUGUUGUUCAGUUACUCAACAAAUAUAUGCCUGGGAAGAAGGUGGACGAUAUCAACCAUAAUUAUGUUGAAUGCUUGCUGUACACUUAUCAUCAUUUGGCUCAUAAGACUCCAAACACAACGAACAGUCUAUGUGGUUACAAGAUUGUUACUGGGCAACCAUCGGAUAGACUUGGAGAGGACUUCACAGAGCAUUACAAAGAUUUUACAGAGAGGUUAACUGGAACAGAAGAGACGGUAAGAGCAGCCUCAAAGCGACUAACUCAGGGAAUGGCAGAUUUCAGCAAGGCAAUAUCUUCAGCAAAAACCGAAGAGGAAAAAACUAAAAUUAAAGGCGAUCAACAAACUUCAACAAGGACAAUGAGGUCAUAUAACAAUAUAUUGGCAAUGGCACAGGGCAAGGCGAGGCCGGCGCCCAGAAGAAUCCGGCUCAUGAACGCCUAGGCGACGCCUUUUAAACCAUGCCAUUGCAUUCAAAAUCCCCUUUAUUUAUCGGUGAUAAGAAAAUCGCUCUAUCAUGGAUGGAGCAUCCCAAGAAACCAACAGCUACGACAGCAGGGGGGAAGAGGUCACAACCUGCUACUACAAAUGGGAAUGGCCCUGCAAACAAGAAAGGGAGAGGAGGAAUGCACAACCAGCUUGUGAACAGAGCUUUUGAAGGACUGUCUCGUGGUGGUAGAGGCACUGGAAGGGGGCGUGGCAGGGGUGGCCGAGGACGAAGAGGGUGGGGUGGCUACCGCUGAGAUGACCUGGAAACUCUGUUCAAACCUGACAUGGGAUGAGCUUUCUGCUUCCACUUGAGAGUAAAUGCAAAGGUCGAUAUUUAUUUGUGUGCCUCAGCGCAACAAGUUUAAAUUGGAAGGCACACAACAGCAGAAUGCGUACAGAAAGAGUAAAAAAGAAUGCUUGAGAAAUGUCCGCAAGAUCUGUGCAUCUUUCCUAUUCAUUUGCCAUCAAGCCGUGUUCUUUGCCACCCUCCGUCGCUUCACCUGAGUUGGCUGUUUGAUGAAAUGUUGGCAAGAUCUGUGCAUCAUCUUUCAUAUUCACUUACCAUCUCACCGUGUUCUUUGAACCCUAACAGUCGUUUCACCUGUGUUGGCUGUUAGAACUCAACAGUAAGAUAUCGUUCAUUUAUUUUAUUU